AGCGGGCCCGAGUGGUCAGCUCGGUAGCUCGCUGGGCUCAUAACCCAGAGGUCGCAGGUUCAAAUCCUGUCCCCGCUA
rnacentral:tRNA from 1 species